GAGAGGUAUGGCUAGGUUUUUAAAAACUGAGUUUAGUCAAACAUAAAAUACUUCAUCACACGGGUUCUAUUUGAAGAAUCACUUGUAUGGGCUGCAAGCUGAAGAAGCCUACUAAGCAUAUUAUAUCUUACGAUAUAUUGUAUUUUCCUUAAGUGCAUCUUACCUUGUGGUGUUAUGUAUUUUUACGACUGACUUUACGAUGUUUCGUGUUUUACUUAAGUACUAUGUACCUUAUAGUUUCCUUUAUUUGAUUUAAG
rnacentral:lncRNA from 1 species